GAGAAUAUUGCUUAAUGGUUAAAGCUCUUGCCUUUUAAGCAACGUUAUAUGAGUUCGAGUCUCAUUAUUCUCA
rfam:Neolecta irregularis DAH-3 MTctg_64 mitochondrial, whole genome shotgun sequence.